rnacentral:rRNA from 1 species
AGACCCGAAACCCGGUGAUCUAGCCAUGGGCAGGUUGAAGGUUGGGUAACACUAACUGGAGGACCGAACCGACUAAUGUUGAAAAAUUAGCGGAUGACCUGUGGCUGGGGGUGAAAGGCCAAUCAAACCGGGAGAUAGCUGGUUCUCCCCGAAAGCUAUUUAGGUAGCGCCUCGUGAAUUCAUCUCCGGGGGUAGAGCACUGUUUCGGCUAGGGGGCCAUCCCGGCUUACCAACCCGAUGCAAACUGCGAAUACCGGAGAAUGUUAUCACGGGAGACACACGGCGGGUGCUAACGUCCGUCGUGAAGAGGGAAACAACCCAGACCGCCAGCUAAGGUCCCAAAGUCAUGGUUAAGUGGGAAACGAUGUGGGAAGGCCCAGACAGCCAGGAUGUUGGCUUAGAAGCAGCCAUCAUUUAAAGAAAGCGUAAUAGCUCACUGGUCGAGUCGGCCUGCGCGGAAGAUGUAACGGGGCUAAACCAUGCACCGAAGCUGCGGCAGCGAACGUAUCACCCAAGACAACUUUGCGGAGUUGACGAUUGACGGAGCGAAGCGACGUCAAAGCGUUCAUUAAAGUCGAGUUGGCUUAGGGAUACGUUCGUUGGGUAGGGGAGCGUUCUGUAAGCCUGUGAAGGUGGCCUGUGAGGGUUGCUGGAGGUAUCAGAAGUGCGAAUGCUGACAUAAGUAACGAUAAAGCGGGUGAAAAGCCCGCUCGCCGGAAGACCAAGGGUUCCUGUCCAACGUUAAUCGGGGCAGGGUGAGUCGACCCCUAAGGCGAGGCCGAAAGGCGUAGUCGAUGGGAAACGGGUUAAUAUUCCCGUACUUGGUGUUACUGCGAAGGGGGGACGGAGAAGGCUAUGUUGGCCGGGCGACGGUUGUCCCGGUUUAAGCGUGUAGGUGUGUGUUCCAGGUAAAUCCGGUUCACUUUAACACUGAGGCGUGACGACGAGGCACUACGGUGCUGAAGCAACAAAUGCCCUGCUUCCAGGAAAAGCCUCUAAGCAUCAGGUAACAUCAAAUCGUACCCCAAACCGACACAGGUGGUCAGGUAGAGAAUACCAAGGCGCUUGAGAGAACUCGGGUGAAGGAACUAGGCAAAAUGGUGCCGUAACUUCGGGAGAAGGCACGCUGAUAUGUAGGUGAAGCGGUUUACCCGUGGAGCUGAAAUCAGUCGAAGAUACCAGCUGGCUGCAACUGUUUAUUAAAAACACAGCACUGUGCAAACACGAAAGUGGACGUAUACGGUGUGACGCCUGCCCGGUGCCGGAAGGUUAAUUGAUGGGGUCAGCGCAAGCGAAGCUCCUGAUCGAAGCCCCGGUAAACGGCGGCCGUAACUAUAACGGUCCUAAGGUAGCGAAAUUCCUUGUCGGGUAAGUUCCGACCUGCACGAAUGGCGUAAUGAUGGCCAGGCUGUCUCCACCCGAGACUCAGUGAAAUUGAACUCGCUGUGAAGAUGCAGUGUACCCGCGGCAAGACGGAAAGACCCCGUGAACCUUUACUAUAGCUUGACACUGAACAUUGAGCCUUGAUGUGUAGGAUAGGUGGGAGGCUUUGAAGCGUGGACGCCAGUCUGCGUGGAGCCGACCUUGAAAUACCACCCUUUAAUGUUUGAUGUUCUAACGUGGACCCGUAAUCCGGGUUGCGGACAGUGUCUGGUGGGUAGUUUGACUGGGGCGGUCUCCUCCUAAAGAGUAACGGAGGAGCACGAAGGUUGGCUAAUCCUGGUCGGACAUCAGGAGGUUAGUGCAAUGGCAUAAGCCAGCUUGACUGCGAGCGUGACGGCGCGAGCAGGUGCGAAAGCAGGUCAUAGUGAUCCGGUGGUUCUGAAUGGAAGGGCCAUCGCUCAACGGAUAAAAGGUACUCCGGGGAUAACAGGCUGAUACCGCCCAAGAGUUCAUAUCGACGGCGGUGUUUGGCACCUCGAUGUCGGCUCAUCACAUCCUGGGGCUGAAGUAGGUCCCAAGGGUAUGGCUGUUCGCCAUUUAAAGUGGUACGCGAGCUGGGUUUAGAACGUCGUGAGACAGUUCGGUCCCUAUCUGCCGUGGGCGCUGGAGAACUGAGGGGGGCUGCUCCUAGUACGAGAGGACCGGAGUGGACGCAUCACUGGUGUUCGGGUUGUCAUGCCAAUGGCACUGCCCGGUAGCUAAAUGCGGAAGAGAUAAGUGCUGAAAGCAUCUAAGCACGAAACUUGCCCCGA